CUAUUCGCCAGGGGACUACGAGCAUUAGCUUGAAACCCAAAGGACUUGGCGGUGCUUUAGAUCCACCUAGAGGAGCCUGUUCUAGAACCGAUAACCCCCGUUCAACCUCACCUUCCCUUGUUCAUUCCGCCUAUAUACCGCCGUCGUCAGCUUACCCUGUGAAGGUAAUGUAGUAAGCAAAACCAGUAUAACUCAAAACGUCAGGUCGAGGUGUAGCAUAUGGGAGGGGAAAAAAUGGGCUACAUUCUCUAUUUUAGAGAAUACGGAUAAUGAAAUGAAAAAUCAUUUGAAGGAGGAUUUAGCAGUAAGCAAAAAGUAGAGUGUUUUGCUGAAACUGGCCCUGAAGCGCG
rnacentral:rRNA from 1 species